AUAUUUUAAAAGCUCCAAACCUGUAAGACCUGAGGCUACUAGCUAUGGAUUGCAGGCGUUAGGGUUAUGUUGGAAACGACAUGAUCUCCCAUUGUGGAAAGGAGAGUUGCUAUUGACUUU
rnacentral:ncRNA from 1 species